GCUUCGGUGGUGUGAGUGGUUAGAGUACGCCGUCCCUGGAUAGGAUGAAAAGCGGGUUCGAUUUCCGCCCGAGGCC